GAUGAAGAACGCAGCGAAAUGCGAUAAGUAGUGUGAAUUGCAGAAUUCAGUGAAUCAUCGAAUCUUUGAACGCACAUUGCGCCCCUUGGUAUUCCAUGGGGCAUGCCUGUUCGAGCGUCAUUUGUACCCUCAAGCUAAGCUUGGUGUUGGGUGUUUGUCCACUCCCUCGUGUUUGGACUCGCCUUAAAACAAUUGGCAGCCAGUGUUUUGGUAUUGAAGCGCAGCACAAUUUGCGACUCUAGCCUAGAAUACUAGCAUCCAUCAAGUCAUUUUUAACGCUUGACCUCGGAUCAGGUAGGGAUACCCGCUGAACUUAAGCAUAUCAAUAAGCGGAGGA
rnacentral:misc_RNA from 1 species